CAGCUCUUGUUUAGUGUUUGACCCCUAUACUUUCUGCUGCACAGAGCUGCACUCUCCUCCUGAGGCUCAAUUUCAUCCACAUCAAUCAAUCAAUCAAUCAACGGUGCCAAUUCAAAUCAAAGAGAAGGUGAAGCUUUCUACAGAUCAACUGGAUUGAGAGGGGGAAUUGUGUUGGCAGUUAAUCAUGAAGUUAAGUCCUGACAGAUGUAAAAAAAACAUGAAACUGGAUAUAACAAAGCUUCCUCCCUGGAGUGAGAGAGCAAGCCUCAAACCUCUGAUCCCAACAGGUGAACUGCAAGCCCAAGAAUCAAGAGAUCUGACUGCUAUCAUGAGUGAGAUCUGGUGACAACAGUGCAUUUGGAGCUUUCUGGAUCAGAGGAUGCAAGCAGCUCACAUAUGGCUGUGGUCAGAAAAUGUUUGGCAUUUGCUUAUUUUAAUUAUGUCAAACUGCUGUGCAAAACAUCACAAAAUAAAAAUGUACCGGGAAGAGGUGAAGCUUACUGUACAUCAUAAACCUUUAUAAGUGUGGCAAGGGGGUGCUAUUUUAUUCAAAAAUAGAGAAUAUUGUCUCCAACCAGCAACGCCACCUGGGGACUUGCACCCCAGGAAACUGUACUUUCAAACUAAAACAGGAAGCUAAAAUAAGAAUAAGGCAACACAGGUAAGUUCUGAAGAGGCAGAGACAGAGUUCAAAAUAUUUCAAAAUGUUUAUUAGAUCAAAAAAAAUGAAGUUAAACAUAAAUAUAACUGAGAAAUUUAACCUAGGAGGGAAAGAAAGGGAUAAAGUUAAAACAACAUAACAAAACACAGAUAAGGGGCAAGAAAGUUAAUUUUAUUUCUAUAAUAAAAUUUAAAACAAGGCCUUCUACAAAAGUUAGAAAGUACAAUAACCCCAACUUAAACUAAAUCAAAGAAACCCAAACUAAGUUAACUUAAGAUAAGCUGAGGCAGGGGGGUGCUCCCUUAUACUCACCAAGUGAAGCACAGCACACACACUGCAAACCUUCAACAAAAGAAACAAAUCGGUGUAGUCUUGUGACCCCGUGUCAAACUCAUGCAAAGGUGGAGGGCCCUCACCUGGGGUGCCUAGCCUCCCAAACUAGUGGGCUCAACUUCUGAAAUAAAUUAAAAGGAUUAACCAAAGAAUCAAACAAACCAACAACAGCGAACCCAGUUGGUAAACUAGAGGCACUAAGGAGAAAAGCAACUAAGGGUAACUAAGAACAGAAUGCAAACUAAUGGGGGAGUAACUGUGUAAAACAACCAAACUUAGAAGUAGAAACAAACCAAGUAAGGGGGAAAAUCAAUCAAAAGGGCAGAAACAACCAAAGUAAACAGGCUAAAAUAACUAUAAUUAAUGGGGGGCAACAAAACAGCAGCAGGUCUACCACCUACAAACAAAAAAAGACAUGCUGUUAAAAGCAAUCAUAAAACUCUAAAGCCGCGUUCAGACCAAACGCG